UACGGGGGGGGCAAGCGUUGUUCGGAAUUACUGGGCGUAAAGGGCGCGUAGGCGGCCUUCUAAGUCGGACGUGAAAUCCCUCGGCUUAACCGAGGAGCUGCGUCCGAUACUGAAAGGCUUGAAUCCGGGAGAGGGAUGUGGAAUUCCAGGUGUAGCGGUGAAAUGCGUAGAUAUCAGGAAGAACAUCGGUGGCGAAGGCGCUCUGCUGGACCAUAACUGACACUCAGGGACGAAAGCUAGGGGAGCGAAUGGG
rnacentral:rRNA from 1 species